rnacentral:tRNA from 1 species
AAGAAGGUGGCAGAUCGGUUAUGCGGUUGGCUUGAAACCAACAGAUGGAGGUUCGAUUCCUUCCUUUCUCG